rnacentral:lncRNA from 1 species
CUAAUCUUUCAUUGGAAGACACUUGGGUGAUGCUAUAGGAUAAUGAAGAUUUCAUCUUCCGUUUGAGGUUACCUCAGAUGUCCAGAUCUUUAGGUCUUUUCUUUUAGGUAAGUUUCCCUUGAGAGGAAUCAUCCAAUCUUCUACCUGGGGUACUGGGUAGAAACCUGGGUUCCAGAAAUCUAGGAACUUGCAAAAGCAUAAUUAAGUCAAGUCAUGGCAAGGUCAUAAGAAGCAGUCACAAAAGCAGCAGUAAUUUGAGUGCGAAUGGCAGUUUUCAUCAUGACUAUGCCUGUUCACAGGGACUCUUUGAAACAGAAGUUUGUUUGGAAGCAUUUCCCAUUCUGCUUGUGGCAGGGCAUGAAAGGGGCACAGAGGCUAUGGAUGCAUUGUUCCCCAGGCCCAGGCUCCUUCCUGGCUGUGUGAUGAUGGGCAAGUUGCUGGCCUCUCCAGUUGUGUCUUUGGAAAAUAGAUGUAAUUGCACCUACCUCAUUGG